GAACCGGAACAUUCGAUCUUUACCAGUUGAUUUGGUUUCAAUCAAAAUACAAGACUUCCAGUAAGGUUUGUAAACUCAAAAGAACUUAACAAACUGAACUCACAAACUGAAACACUGAAUUCUUGCAAAUCGUGGAAAAUCCAUUAAACAUGUAUGGUAAUAUGCAUAGCUUUGUUCUUUUCUUUUGCUGUAAUACCAUUAAGUAACUACCCUUCAUAUUAGAUAUGACAAAAACCAUCUGAACUUGAUUAGUCUUCAGUUGUGGUUGAACAUGGUUCGGAAAAAGCCUGAACUGGAUUAUAUGAGAACGGGUGCACGCAUCAAACCUGGUAAGAGGCUCCGCAAUUUUUUGGUAGCGAAAUUAUGGUGAUAUCGAUGUCUGAAUCUGCGGGGAAACAAAUCAUCACGAGUCUUCUGCUUCUAUGUCAAAGAACUGGACUCUGAAAAGUAAUUUACUUCGAACUUGUUGCUAUAUCACAACUGCGGUGGCCUUAAUGGCAUCAGUGUCGGUCAUCGGUUCAGUUGUCUUGAACUUUCCUACUUUUCUAACUCAGAAAGCUGAGUUUUCGGAAUAUCCCAUUCCUCAGUACCUUUCAAGCGUUAUCCUGAUGCGGCGGCCCAGAACAAAAAACGAGUCGUCAAAGUCCUCCAAUCUGAAAUUGGCUUAAGAGACUUCCUGAAAUGAGAAACUUCAAUGGUGAACAAAAGAAAAUAUCUUUGAUUGUCAUCAUGUUAAUAUCUUGUGUAUUCUUUUUCAUAUCUUCAACUGAGACUGAAAAAUAGUUGGUCGCUAUUGCCGUCAAAGCAAACCUGAUCAAAACAAUUCUUCUCAAUUUGGCUGCUAAAAUAGGCGACCACUUCAGUGGAGGAUCUUUUACUCCAGGAAAGAUCUGAAGCUGACAAUUCUGCUCUUGGAAGCAUCCUCGGAUAUGCUAGGGUCAACGAGUAACAGAAGAAAGAGGCAUUUAGGUAACCCCGUCUUGGGUUCAUUCCUCGAACAGGUUCGUGAUUCAGGAUGAAUAGCGAGAUCACUGAUCUCGUGGACAAUAGGCGAGGAUGAGACCAAUGACCCGGCCAAACUCAGUGGCUGCCGACC
rnacentral:lncRNA from 1 species